AGCUCAUCCCUUGCAGAGCUCAGACCCCACCUUGGCCAGACUGCGUGUGACAGUACAUGUUUCAUCUCUGACUCCCGGGCUGGCCAGACUCACUGUAGCCAGGUCUGUGAGAAGGCUGAACCUGACCGGCCACUAAGAAGCCUGGUCCCAUGGACCGCAUCCCAAGUCAUCAACACUGAGGAAGACACUACAAACAGGUCCAACUUCAUCUUACAGCCAAGGAGGCUGAACCAGGAGACAGCAACAACAGUGGAAGAAGGUGCAGCCGCUGUGCUGGGGUCUUCAUGGCCAACUAAGAUGCAGCCGGCUUGCAGCAACAGCGACAUUCGGAGGAAUAGUGUCACGCAGCAGGCCUGAACAGCACAAUGCAGGCACGGAGCUGUUCCUUCAGGCCCAGAUUUUCCAUCUCCUGAAAAAGCAAAUGCAAGGUCCAGGAAGUACCAAGCAAGCUCUCUACCGUUGAGUUACAACCCUGAAUCUGAAAUUUCAAGUUUUAACCAAACAUCACCUAAUUCAUUACACCUGAAAGACUACCUUUCUUUCUCUUUUUGUUGAAAAAGUAGGGCAGUUUGUCUUCCCUGAACGCUGAGACUUCAAGCAUCUAAGACUCCAAGAUGUCGUGUGGAAGCAGAAGUCACACUUCCUGGGUGACUACUCCAGCCAGCUCAGCCGGGCCCCUCAGAUGAGGGACGCUCCCAGAAGGGCACCUGCAGCUCAGCCUCCAGCAGCAGCUGCAGCUGCGCCAUCUCCAGUUGGCUCACCUGCCACUGUGCCCCAGCAGCCAGGCCUGAUGGCCCAGAUGGCCUCCACUGCAGCCGGUGUGGCUGUGGGCUCUGCACACCCUGGGUCAUGCCAUCACUGGGGGCUUCAGGGGAGGCUGUAAUGCUAAACCUGCAAAGCCCGACAUCACUUAUCAGGAGCCUCAGGGAGCCCAGCGGCAGGACUAGAAGUCUUUUGGACCUUACUCUCUAGAGAUCAAGCAGUUUCUGGAGUGUUCUCAGAACCAGAGCGAUGUCAGGCUCUGGGAGGGCUUCAUCGAGGUGCUUGCGACAGGGCAGAGUUGCAAAUGGUUUACUCUAACCAAGAAUUUCAAGCUGAAGAGAUGUAAAAUUGGUUCUGUGUAAUUGAUAGUACAAAUGUGGACCCUUAUUUCUAACAGCUCCCGUGCUUUGGAAUGGCCAUGAAAGAGAUCUAACUAUAGAUGUUUACUGAGGCUUGUGGUGUUUGGCCUCCUUGAAGUAACUGUAUUAUGACUGUGAGUUAAAAAUAAUAAUAAUAAUAAAAUAAAAAAAUCAACAACAACAAC